GCGCGCGCCGUCUCUCGGGGCGGGGCACCGGGCCCCUUCCGGGGAUGGGCCCCGGCGCCCGCGUCGGCCUGGCUGUGCCCGGCCCCUCCCCGCUCGGGCGGGCGCUGCGCCGUGUCCCCGCCCGGCAGUCCGCCCGGCUCGGCUGGCCGCAGAAAGGGCCUGGGCCGCCGCACUGAGAGCUUUACGCCCGGAGGCGUCGGCGCUGCCGCUGGCCCGCGACGGGAACGGGGCGAAAAGGCGGGGGCACCAUGUUCUCCCUCAAGCCGCCCAAACCCACCUUCAGGUCCUACCUCCUGCCACCUCCCCAGACUGACGAUAAGAUCAAUUCGGAACCGAAGAUUAAAAAACUGGAGCCAGUCCUUUUGCCAGGAGAAAUUGUCGUAAAUGAAGUCAAUUUUGUGAGAAAAUGCAUUGCAACAGACACAAGCCAGUACGAUUUGUGGGGAAAGCUGAUAUGCAGUAACUUCAAAAUCUCCUUUAUUACAGAUGACCCAAUGCCAUUACAGAAAUUCCAUUACAGAAACCUUCUUCUUGGUGAACAUGAUGUCCCUUUAACAUGUAUUGAGCAAAUUGUCACAGUAAAUGACCACAAGAGGAAGCAGAAAGUCCUAGGCCCCAACCAGAAACUGAAAUUUAAUCCAACAGAGUUAAUUAUUUAUUGUAAAGAUUUCAGAAUUGUCAGAUUUCGCUUUGAUGAAUCAGGUCCCGAAAGUGCUAAAAAGGUAUGCCUUGCAAUAGCUCAUUAUUCCCAGCCAACAGACCUCCAGCUACUCUUUGCAUUUGAAUAUGUUGGGAAAAAAUACCACAAUUCAGCAAACAAAAUUAAUGGAAUUCCCUCAGGAGAUGGAGGAGGAGGUAAUGGAGCUGGUGGUGGCAGCAGCCAGAAAACUCCACUCUUUGAAACUUACUCGGAUUGGGACAGAGAAAUCAAGAGGACAGGUGCUUCUGGGUGGAGAGUUUGUUCUAUUAACGAGGGUUACAUGAUAUCCACUUGCCUUCCAGAAUACAUUGUAGUGCCAAGUUCUUUAGCAGACCAAGAUCUAAAGAUCUUUUCCCAUUCUUUUAUUGGGAGAAGGAUGCCACUCUGGUGCUGGAGCCACUCUAACGGCAGUGCUCUUGUGCGAAUGGCCCUCAUCAAAGACGUGCUGCAGCAGAGGAAGAUUGACCAGAGGAUUUGUAAUGCAAUAACUAAAAGUCACCCACAGAGAAGUGAUGUUUACAAAUCAGAUUUGGAUAAGACCUUGCCUAAUAUUCAAGAAGUACAGGCAGCAUUUGUAAAACUGAAGCAGCUAUGCGUUAAUGAGCCUUUUGAAGAAACUGAAGAGAAAUGGUUAUCUUCACUGGAAAAUACUCGAUGGUUAGAAUAUGUAAGGGCAUUCCUUAAGCAUUCAGCAGAACUUGUAUACAUGCUAGAAAGCAAACAUCUCUCUGUAGUCCUACAAGAGGAGGAAGGAAGAGACUUGAGCUGUUGUGUAGCUUCUCUUGUUCAAGUGAUGCUGGAUCCCUAUUUUAGGACAAUUACUGGAUUUCAGAGUCUGAUACAGAAGGAGUGGGUCAUGGCAGGAUAUCAGUUUCUAGACAGAUGCAACCAUCUAAAGAGAUCAGAGAAAGAGUCUCCUUUAUUUUUGCUAUUCUUGGAUGCCACCUGGCAGCUGUUAGAACAAUAUCCUGCAGCUUUUGAGUUCUCUGAAACCUACCUGGCAGUGUUGUAUGACAGCACCCGGAUCUCACUGUUUGGCACCUUCCUGUUCAACUCCCCUCACCAGCGAGUGAAGCAAAGCACGUAUGAAAUCAUCUACUGGAACAUGGUGAUUGAUUGAUAGAAGAGGUGAAGGCAUCUUCUCCCACCCAUACUUCUUCUGUGUCAUCCAUGGGAUGUUUCUGCUUGCCCUCUAAAGCCAGCUUUUAGCUAAGGCUUUGGCUCUUAGCUCCAACUGCAACCACAUGGCAGACUUCUACUUCAGCCCCCAGCUUCUGCAGUUCAGCCAGCCAGAUCAUCUGCUUAUGUGAAAGACGAUCAUUGGGGCCUUUAACUUCCACCAGCUGGAAAAGAAAUUUUUAAAAGUUGUUAUUAGUAUCUUACUGAAUGAAAAGCCAUUCAAGUAAGUUGUAGUUGUCACUGACAACUAUUUAAAUGGCUCUUCUGCUCUCUCACUGUAUUUGUAAGUGUAACACAAAUAUAUGGAUGGUCCUUCACUUACAAUGGUUCACCUUAGGAUUUUUUGACUUAAAAAUGGUGCAAAAGUGAUAUACAUUCAAUAGAAACCAUACUCUGAGUGUUGAUCUUUUCCCAGUAUGAUACUCCAUGCUGGGCAGCAGCAGUGAGCCACAGCUCCCAGUCAGCCACAUGAUCAUGAGGAUAAUCAGUCCUCUACGGUUUGCAGUGAACUACAUGAUCUGCCCAACUGUAGGCUAAUGCACGCAUUCUGAGCACAUUUAAGGUAGGCUAAGCUAAGCUAUGAGGUUUGGUGGGAUAAAUAUGUUAAAUGCAUUUUCAACUUAUAAUAUUUUCAGUUGAUGUUUAGGAUUUAUCAGGACAUAAGGCCAUCAUAAGUUGAGAAGCGUCUGUAUGUAGCUUAGAAAUUUAUUCAGAAAUUCUUCUAUUGUGUAGAAACUAGACAGUUCUUCACAGAGGAUGAGUAAACUGAUUCUUAGUAUAGCAAAUGAAAAAUUGUUUUAAAGCAUGCACUGGAUUUUACUUCCCUGCUUAAAACCCUCCGAUUACUCUGUUACAUUUUCAAUUAAAUCUAACCUUCUUGCCAUGACCAGUCUCUUCCCUACCCCAAGGCCCUCACUCCCACUUGCUAUUUGCUGUUCCCGCUGCCUGGGACAUUUCUCCCUGUUCUUGACAUGCCUGACUUCUUACCUUUCAAUGCUCAGCUUAAACUGAUCUGGAGAGGUCACAGCUCUAAGUGUAUCCUCCCUAUGCACUUCUUUCAUGGCAUUCACAAGAUAAAAAUAUAUACUACAUGUCAUCUUCAUGAAGGCAAGAAUUGUGUGUUUUGUUCACUACACAUCACUAGACUUGAAGACACAGCAAUAAAAACUAUUCUAGGUAAAAUAUAGAAAAAAAUUGUUUAAAUACAGCAUUUAGCAGCCUAAGGGACAUUUAAUUAGAGUCCCCAAAGGAACGAGAAAAAAAAAAUACUUGAAGAAAAAAUGGCCAAAAAUUUUCCAAAUUUGAUGAAAACAAUAAACCCAAAGACUGAAGAAAAUCAAUGAAUCCCAGGCACACAAAUGUAACGGCACCCUAGGAAAUAUCACAACUGUAUAAUCAGGGGAUAUAGUCAAAGCAGCCAGAAUUUUUAAAGCCAGAGGGAAAAAAAAAGAUUCUUUGAUUGGAAACCAUGCUAGUUAGAAGACAGUAGACUAAUAUUUUUAAAGUAUUGAAAAAUAAUUGUCAACAUAAGAUUCGUUGCCCGGAGAAAAUAUCUUUCAAAAACAAAGGUGAAAUAAAGGCUAAGACAUACAAAACCUAAAUACAGCCAUCCCUCAGUAUCCAUGGGGGACUGGUUCAAGGACCCCCUGUUACCAAAAUCCAUGGAUGCUCAAGUCCCUCAUAUAAAAUGGCAUCACAUCUGCAUAUUCUAUGCACAUCUUCUCAUAUACUUUAAAUCAUCUCUACUUAUAUCUAAUGUAAAUGCUAUGAAAAUAGUUGUUAUGCUGUAUUUUUAUUUGAUUUGUUUAUUGUUGUAGUUACUUUUUAUUGUUUUUCUUUUUUCCAAAUACUUUCAGUCCAUGGUUGCAUCUACAGAAGCAGAAACCAUGGAUACAGAGGGCUAACUACUGUAAUUCAUUACUAGCAGAACUUCCAGACAUGGAAAUUUUUUCUUUUUCUUUUCUUUUUUUUUUUUUUUUUUUUGAGACAAGGUCUCACUCUGUUGCCCAGGCUGGUAUACAGUGGCAUGAUCUCAGCACACUGCAGCCUUGACCUCCCAGGCUCAAGCAGUUCUCUCACCUCAGCCUCCCAAGCAGCUGGGACUACAAGUGCACACCACCACACCCAGCUAAUUUGUUUAUCGUUUUGUAGAGAUGAGGUCUCACUGUGUUUGCCCAAGCUGGUCUCCAACUCCUGAGCCCAAGCAAUCCGCCCACCUCAGCCUCCCAAAGUGCUGGAAUUACAGGCGUGAAAGGAAAUUCUUCAAGCAGGAGAAUGAGACUACACAGAAACCUGGAUCUAUACAAAAGAAUAGCAAGCACUGGAAAUGCUAUCUACAUGAGUAAAUAUAGACUCAUUAAUCAACUGUAGAAAGCAAAAAUAAUAUGUUAUAGAACGUAUAACACGUAGAAGUAAAAUAUAUGAAAACAUCACAAAGGCUGGAAGGGAAGAUAUAUAUUAUUGAAAGGUUCUUUUUACUCUAAAGUGUGUAUCACCUGAAGGUGGAUAAGUUUAAGAUAUAUAAUAUACUAAUGCAACCACUUAAACACAAUGAACAGUUACAGCUAACAAGCCAGCAAAGCUAUCAAAUGCAAUCUUUAAAAAUAAGACAGAGCCAGGCACUGUGGCUCAUGCCUGCAAUCCCAACACUAAGAGACCACGGCAGGUGAACUGCUUGAGCCUGGGGGUUUGAGAUCAGCCUGGGCAACAUGGUGGAACCCCAUCUCUAAAAAAUACAAAAACCACAAAAAUUAGCCAGGCAUGGUGGCGUGCACCUGUGGUUCCAGCUACUCAGGAAAAAGACAAGGGACAAAAGAGUUCUGAGACAAAGAGAAAAUAAGUAUCAGGAUUUAAAGCUAAGGAUAUCAAUAAUCAAAUUAAAUGUAAAUGUUCCAAACACCCCAUUAAAAGACAGAGGUUAAGUUGGAUUCAAAAGUAAGACCCAACUAUAUGAUGCCUACAGGAAAUCCACAUUAAAAAUAAGAUAAAACAGGUCAAAAGAAUGGAAAAAUGUAUCAUGUUAACAUUAAAAAAAAGAAGGCUGAAGUGGCUACAUGUUAACAAUAUCGGACAAAGUUGAUUUCAGAGCAAAGAUUACCAGGUGUAAAGGGGGGGUCACUGCAUAAUGAUAAAAGGGAAGACUCACGAAGAGGACAUGACAGUCCUAAAAGUCUAUGCGUCUUAUAACAGACCUUCAAAAUACAUGAAGCAAAUAGUGAUAGAAACGCAAGAAGAAAUACACAAAUCGGCUGGGCACGGUAUACUCUCAGCACUUUGGGAGGCCAACGUGGAGCCCAGGAGUUCGAGACCAGCCUGGGCAACAUGGUGGAACCCCAUCUCUACAAAAAAUAAAAAAAAUUAGCUGGGCAUGAUGGUGCAUGCCUAUAGUUCUGGCUACUCAACAGGCUGAGGCAGAAGAAUUGCUUGAGCCUGGGAGAUCAAGGCUGCAGCGAUCCAGGAUCGCACUGCCACUACACUCCAGCGUAGGUGACAGUGAGAGUCUGUCUCAAAAAACAAAAAAAAAAAAAAAAAGAAAGAAAAAUACCACAAUUAUAAUCAGAGAUAUCAAUAUUCUCUCAAUAAUUUAUAGUACAAGUAAAUAAGAAAUCAGUAAGGACACAGACAACUUAAACAACACUAUCAACCAACUUGACCUAAUUGACAUUUAAAAAUACUGCCCACAACAAAUGCUGAACACACAUUCUUUUCAAGUACAAAAAGAAUAUUCACCAGGGAAAACCAUAUUCUGGACCAUAAAACAAGUCUCAACAAAUUUAGUGGGAUUCAAAAUCAUACAAAAUAUGUCCUCUGAAUACAAUGGAGUUAAAUUACAAAUCAGUAGCAGAAAGAUACCUGAAAAUCUCUCAAGUGUUUGGAAAUGUAAAUGACUCACUUCUAAAUAAGCCAAGGAUCAAAGAAGAGUCAAAAGGGAAAUCAGAAAGUAUUGUGAACUGAAUGAAAAUGAAAACAACUACUAAAUUUGUGAGGUUCAGAUAAAGCAGCACUGAGAAGGAAAUUUGGAGCACUACCUAACUCUAUUAGAAAAGAAGUUCUCAAAGCAAUCACCAUAGCUUCCACCUUGAGAAACUAGGAAAUAAAAAAACAAAUGAAACCAAAAGCUGAUUCUUUGAGAAAAUCAGUAAAUUGAUAAACCUCCUGCCAGACUCAUCAGGGAAGAAAGAGAAAUGACACAAAUUACCAAUAUCAAGAAUAAGAGCAUGACAGAGAUAAAGAUUCUACAGAUAUUAAAAUACAAUAAGAAACAAAUACA